rnacentral:rRNA from 1 species
UACGGAGGGAGCUAGCGUUGUUCGGAAUUACUGGGCGUAAAGCGCACGUAGGCGGCUUUGCAAGUUAGAGGUGAAAGCCCGGGGCUCAACCCCGGAAUUGCCUUUAAAACUGCAUCGCUAGAAUUGUGGAGAGGUAAGUGGAAUUCCGAGUGUAGAGGUGAAAUUCGUAGAUAUUCGGAAGAACACCAGUGGCGAAGGCGACUUACUGGACACAUAUUGACGCUGAGGUGCGAAAGCGUGGGGAGCAAACAGG